GACGAACGCUGGCGGCGUGCUUAACACAUGCAAGUCGAACGAUGAAGCCGGAGCUUGCUCCGGUGGAUUAGUGGCGAACGGGUGAGUAACACGUGAGCAAUCUGCCCUUGACUCUGGGAUAACUGCGGGAAACUGUAGCUAAUACCGGAUACGACACCUUGGGGCAUCCCAGGGUGUGGAAAGAAUUUCGGUCAAGGAUGAGCUCGCGGCCUAUGACUUAUCAGCUAGUUGGCAGGGUAAAAGCCUACCAAGGCAAUGACGAGUAGCGGGUGUGAGAGCAUGACCCGUCUCACUGGGACUGAGAUACUGCCCAGACUCCUACGGGAGGCUGCAGUCGCGAAUCUUCCUCAAUGGCCGAAAGGCUGAAGGAGCGACGCCGCGUGUAUGAAGACGCCCUUCGGGGUGUAAAAUACUUUUUUCUCUGACGAAACAAUGACGGUAAGAGAGGAAUAAGGAGCUGCUAACCUCGUGCCAGCCGCCGCAGUAA
rnacentral:rRNA from 1 species